UAAGAUGAGUCUCCGAAUAUCAGGUAGAAGUCAGGGUAAGACCUGACUAGCUUACGACGGAUACGGUCUGUGAGAGCAAUAACCCGGAGACGAUAUCUGAGACACGAUAUCGGGCCCUACGGGGCGCAGCAGGCGCGAAACCUUCACACUGUGCGAAAGCGCGAUGAGGGGAUCCCAAGUGCUGGCUCUUAGGAGUAAGCUGUUUCUCUGUUUAAAACGCAGGGAGAGGAAGGUCUGGUUAAGACGGGUGCCAGCCGCCGCGGUAAUACCUGCAGCUCAAGUGGUGACCGCUAUUAUUGGGCCUAAAACGUUCGUAGCCGUCUGAGUAAAUGCCUGGGUAAAUCGUGCCGCUUAACGGUACGAAUUCCGGGUAGACUGCUUAGCUUGAGACCGGGAGAAGCUAGAGGUACUCCUGGGGUAGGGGUGAAAUCCUGUAAUCCUGGGGGGACCACCAGUGGCGAAGGCGUCUAGCUAGAACGGGUCUGACGGUGAGGAACGAAACCCUGGGGCGCAAACCGGAUUAGAUACCCGGGUAGUCCAGGGCGCAAACGCUGCUUGCUUGAUGUUAGCUGGGCUCCGAGCUCAGCUAGUGUCGGAGUGAAGAUGUUAAGCAAGCUGCCUGGGAAGUACGAUCGCAAGAUUGAACUCAAAUGUAUUGACGG
rnacentral:rRNA from 1 species